rnacentral:rRNA from 1 species
AGUUUGAUCCUGGCUCAGGAUGAACGCUGGCGGCGUGCUUAACACAUGCAAGUCGAACGAAGCUCUUUGAACCGAGGAUUCGUCUGAAGUGAUAAGAUGACUUAGUGGCGGACGGGUGAGUAACGCGUGGGGAAUCUGCCCCGUACCGGGGGAUAACACUUAGAAAUAGGUGCUAAUACCGCAUAAGCGCACGGUGUCGCAUGACACAGUGUGAAAAACUCCGGUGGUACGGGAUGAUCCCGCGUCUGAUUAGCCAGUUGGCAGGGUAACGGCCUACCAAAGCGACGAUCAGUAGCCGGCCUGAGAGGGUGAACGGCCACAUUGGGACUGAGACACGGCCCAAACUCCUACGGGAGGCAGCAGUGGGGAAUAUUGCACAAUGGGGGAAACCCUGAUGCAGCGACGCCGCGUGAGUGAAGAAGUAUCUCGGUAUGUAAAGCUCUAUCAGCAGGGAAGAAAAUGACGGUACCUGACUAAGAAGCCCCGGCUAACUACGUGCC